AGAUCCUGCCUCUAAUCCUCCCAAAAUUUUACAUCCCUCCAACUCUACACAACGAUUCAAAAUGUUUUCCUUUUUCUUUUAUUUUUCAUUCUUUUCUGUUUAUCAAUUUCCUUUGUAGGAUUUUAUGUUACCUUAUUUCUGCUAUUUCAUUCCUUUAAGCUGUUUCUAUAUGAGAUUUUCUUAAGAUUCAUAAAUGUUUCUAUACGUAAAGUCAGUGGCUUGCCCUUUUCCCAAGUUUUCCCCCAAAAUAAAACUCUUGCUCUCUUGCUCUUUCUCCACCGUCCGAAAGCGCUUAAGUUCUAGUUUGAACCUUGACCACUUGAUUAGAUAUACAACAGCUAUUGACAUGUGGUCCUUUGGCUGCAUAGUUGCUGAACUCUUUCUUGGGCUGCCAUUAUUCCCAGGUGCUUCAGAAUUUGAUCUUCUAAGGCGAAUGGUUGAAAUUCUUGGAGAGCAGCCCCCUGAUUAUGUUCUAAAGGAGGCAAAGGCAAAAAACACAAGUAAGUUCUUCAAGUGCGUCGGGAGAAUCCUAUAGGGAAUAGUGAAGUUUGUGGCAGAAGUGCUUACCAAGUAUUAAUAGAAGAAGAAUAUGAAGCCAAGGAGUUAAAAAAACCGUUGAUUGGAAAAGAGUAUUUCAAUCAUAAGAAUCUUGAAGCAGUAGUUACAUGCUAUCCUUACCUGAAAAACUUGCCUAAAGAAGAUAUCAUUAAAGAGAGUCAGAUACGAUUGCCUUUGAUUGAUUUCUUGAGGGGACUAGUUGAGUUUGAUCCGGCAAAACGGUGGUCACUUUUCCAGGCUUCCAAACACCCUUUUGUUACCGGGGAACCUUUUACACGCCCAUAUAGGCCUCCCCCUGAGACCCCUCACUUGAUCAUCAGAAAGUUUGAUCAGUUGGAAUCGCGUCGGAGCAUGAUCACACUAUCCAUCCAACAUUUUGGUAGUUUUCGGCUAUUUUGGUUAAUGGUUAUAAAUGGCAUGUGAUAAGGUUAUAAGGUCAUUCUAGUUAUUUGGCUUGUUUUGAGUUGUGUUAAGCUUGUUGUAAUUAAUGUUGUUAGUUGUUGGCAUGUAUAUAAUGGUAUAAAUAUGUGUGGUUUGGAACCUUAUCUGUGCUUUAUUGAUAGAAGGCAUCAUAUGGUAGAAUGGCAUGUUGUUGGAAUGGUUAUUUGACAUGAUUGGUAUAGGUUUAAGUUAUGAUCUUGAGAUAUUGAAUUGAAUUAAGUUUGUUAUGUA